AACGCCGGCGGCGCGCCUAAUACAUGCAAGUCGAACGAGAAUGUGUAGCAAUACACAUGUACAGUGGCGAACGGGUGAGGACUACAUGGGUAACCUACCCUCGAGUGGGGAAUAACUAGCCGAAAGGUUAGCUAAUACCGCGUACGCUUCCCGGACUGCGGUUCGGGAAGGAAAGCGAUACCGUGGGUAUCGCGCUCUUGGAUGGGCUCAUGCCCUAUCAGCUUGUUGGUGAGGUAACGGCUCACCAAGGCUUCGACGGGUAGCUGAUCUGAGAGGAUGAUCAGCCACACUGGCACUGCGACACGGGCCAGACUCCUACGGGAGGCAGCAGUAAGGAAUAUUGCGCAAUGGGCGAAAGCCUGACGCAGCGACGCCGCGUGGGGGAUGAAGGUCUUCGGAUUGUAAACCCCUUUCGGGAGGGAAGAUGGGAUGGGGUAACCCAUUCGGACGGUACCUCCAGAAGCAGCCACGGCUAACUUCGUGCCAGCAGCCGCGGUAAUACGAAGGUGGCAAGCGUUGUUCGGAUUUACUGGGCGUACAGGGAGCGUAGGCGGUUGGGUAAGCCCUCCGUGAAAUCUCCAGGCUUAACCUGGAAAGUGCAGAGGGGACUGCUCAGCUAGAGGAUGGGAGAGGAGCGCGGAAUUCCCGGUGUAGCGGUGAAAUGCGUAGAGAUCGGGAGGAAGGCCGGUGGCGAAGGCGGCGCUCUGGAACAUUUCUGACGCUGAGGCUCGAAAGCGUGGGGAGCAAACAGGAUUAGAUACCCUGGUAGUCCACGCCUUAAACGAUGGAUACUAAGUGUCGGCGGGUUACCGCCGGUGCCGCAGCUAACGCAGUAAGUAUCCCGCCUGGGAAGUACGGCC
rnacentral:rRNA from 1 species